rnacentral:misc_RNA from 1 species
GGAUAAAUACAGGGGAACGAGACAUAAUGUUGGUUUUGAAAUGCUUGAUGCAUUCGCAAAUUCACAAGGGAUUCAUAUGGAGACAAUACAUUGUAAAGCUAUGUUUGGAAAAGGUUUUGUCAAUGGUAUGCCAGUUCUCCUUGCAAAGCCACUGACUUACAUGAAUUUGAGUGGUGAAUCCAUUGGCCCACUUGCAGCAUAUUACAAGCUCCCUCUCAAUCGUGUGGUCGUGUUUCAUGAUGACAUGGAUUUACCAUGUGGAGUUCUUC